CUGAACCUUCAAAAGAGCCAAAGGAAUACAGAAUUGCCUGUGGAAAAAUGUUAAUAAGUGUUCUGUAUUAAAGCUGGGGCUUGAGUUGUUUUGUUAUUGAGAGACACUUAUAAUAAAGAUUAGAGAAAAUUACUAACCUCGAAUUUCAUUCUUUGUCUUUAAGGUAUUUAACUUUUUUUAUGGCAUGUUGGCCUAGACGUGGAGUAUUUCUGGUUGAUACAUUAGUAGUAAAAUUGUUUCUUUAACUUGGGGACAAUAAGAAGGCCCAGGGUAGGAUACUUCAAUAUAGGCAGACAAAAAUCUGCCAGUGAAUUUUCUUUUAGAAGGGCAAACACUCCCCCCCC